UGCUUAACACAUGCAAGUCGAGUGCGUAGUCAUCUGUAGCAAUACAGGUGACAGGCGCACGGCGCACGGGUGCGUAACACGUGGGUAAUCUGCCCUCUGAUGGGGAAUAACCCGCCGAAAGGCGGGCUAAUACCGCAUAACAUCCCUUUGGCUUCGGCCGGGGGGAUCAAAGGCCGCAAGGCCGUCGGUGGAGGAGCCCGCGCCCGAUUAGCUAGUUGGUGAGGUCAUGGCUCACCAAGGCUUUGAUCGGUAGCCGGUCUGAGAGGACGACCGGCCACACUGGAACUGAGACACGGUCCAGACUCCUACGGGAGGCAGCAGUGGGGAAUAUUGCGCAAUGGGCGAAAGCCUGACGCAGCGACGCCGCGUGGGGGAUGAAGCUUCUCGGAGUGUAAACCCC
rnacentral:rRNA from 1 species